rnacentral:rRNA from 1 species
GUGCCAGCAGCCGCGGUAAUACGUAGGUGGCAAGCGUUAUCCGGAAUUAUUGGGCGUAAAGCGCGCGUAGGCGGUUUUUUAAGUCUGAUGUGAAAGCCCACGGCUCAACCGUGGAGGGUCAUUGGAAACUGGAAAACUUGAGUGCAGAAGAGGAAGGUGGAAUUCCAUGUGUAGCGGUGAAAUGCGCAGAGAUAUGGAGGAACGCCAGUGGCGAAGGCGACUUUCNUGGUCUGUAACUGACGCUGAUGUGCGAAAGCGUGGGGAUC